UGGUUCUGGCAUCGAUGAAGAACGCAGCGAAAUGCGAUAAGUAAUGUGAAUUGCAGAAUUCAGUGAAUCAUCGAAUCUUUGAACGCACAUUGCGCCCCCUGGUAUUCCGGCGGGCAUGCCUAUUCGAGCGUCAUUUCUAUCCUCAAGCUCUGCUUGGUAUUGGGAGGCAAGCCUCAUCCCCCUGGGGGGAGGCUCCCCCGAAAAUCAGCGGCGGAUCGGUCGGGGUCCCAGCGCAGUGACUUUUUUUUCUCGCUGAUUGGACCCCCGGGCGGCUCCUGCCGGGCUAAAAAACAUUUUUAAUUUUCAGGAUUGACCUCGGAUUAGGUAGGGAUACCCGCUGA
rnacentral:misc_RNA from 1 species